rnacentral:misc_RNA from 1 species
CCUGAUAUAUGCAAAAAAGUUGAUCUUUUCCGAAAUGCUGGUUUUUCUAAAUUGUAUGAUUUCUCUUUCAGCAUUUGUAACGCGGUUUACAUCUGCAACGAAUAAACACUUAAUCAAUAUAGGCAGGGACUGCAUUACUAAUGUACCGGUAGGCAAUUGGACAUGAAAAGCUGCUUCCAAAGAUGGAAAUAAUGGCGACCGCCUGUGCUCGAUUAGCAAUGGUAUGAACCUAUGGUAACGACAAUCGGAACUGCGAUCACUGCUGGAUUCGUUGUGUUUGCAUCGCAGUGCUAAUGUGGACGUUUGCAUCUCAGCCUUUGUCCGGUUAUAGACGCCAUGUUCUCUUUCAGGAGCCUCACUUUCACGGUAGUCUGAAACCAUAGGAAAAUAUUUGGUCGCCAUUUUGUUGUCUACUUCAAGGGUCAUUGUGAGGGUUUUUAGUUUUUCCACACAUCCUUCGGGAUGGGGGAAACGAAAAUUAUCUAUCAUAUAGAUGACGAGGAUACCCCCUACUUAAUAAAACUCCCUGUUCCUGCGGAUCGGGUAACGCUCGGGGAUUUUAAAAAUGCGCUCAACCGACCAAACUACAAGUUUUUCUUCAAAUCUAUGGAUGAUGAUUUCGGGGUGGUGAAAGAAGAAAUAAUUGAUGACGAUGCCAGACUGCCCUGCUUUAAUGGAAGAGUUGUUUCCUGGCUUGUUCCUGCUGAGAGUAGUGCUUCAGACACACAGUCUCAGUCAGGAGAUGUCCAUAUGCCAACAGAACGAGUAGGAGGUAUUGGAGACAGCCGCCCACCUUCCUUUCAUGCAAAUGCCUCAGUAGUCAGUCGAGAUGAACCUUGUGAUACCUGCACAGAAUCUGAGUCUGUUCUAAGUGGAGCCAGGCGUGUUCCAGCUCGCAUCAAUGGGCACUCAAAACAUGAGCGACAUCACCAUCAUCGACCUGAACGAGGCCACUAUGAGACAUCCACCAUGAUGAGCAGCGACUUAGAGACAACUAGUUUCUUUGACUCAGAGGAUGAUACAGCCAGCAGGUUCUCAACAGUGACAGAUACAACAACCAGCAUGGCCUCAAAGUAUGGCCGUCACAGACGCAGGCGGCGGCGACAUCGACCGCCCCCAAUCAGUAGGGUGGGUAUUAACAAGGCAUCGUCUUUCAGCAGUAUCACUGAUUCUACCAUGUCUCUAAACAUUAUCACUGUCACCUUAAACAUGGAUACAGUCAAUUUCCUAGGUAUCAGCAUUGUGGGCCAGAGCAACAAGGGUGGAGAUGGUGGCAUAUAUGUAGGAUCCAUCAUGAAAGGGGGAGCAGUGGCCCAAGAUGGACGAGUGGAGCCAGGUGAUAUGAUUUUGGAGGUCAAUGGCAUCAGCUUUGAGAACAUGAGUAACGAUGAUGCUGUCAAGACACUCAGGGAAGCCGUCCAAAAACCUGGUCCCAUCACGCUGGUUGUAGCCAAGUGUUGGGAUCCAAACCCAAAAGGUUACUUCACAGUGCCAAGGCAAGAACCAGUACGGCCUAUUGAUCCAUCAGCAUGGGUUGCACACACAACAGCACUCAGAGAGCAGUAUAUGGGGCGCAGUGGUCCAAGUGCUCCCUCCAUUUCCAACAUGACCUCUACUAGUUCCUCCCUUACUAGUUCUAUACCUGAGUCAGAAAGAUUCGAUGAUCUCAACCUGACAAUAAAUACAGACAUGGCAACAGUGGUCAAAGCUAUGGCACAGCCUGAUUCAGGACUGGAAAUUCGAGACCGCAUGUGGCUCAAAAUUACAAUACCAAAUGCUUUCAUAGGGGCUGAUCUGGUAGAUUGGCUGUUUACCCAUGUAGAGGGUUUUGCUGAUAGAAGAGAUGCUCGUAAAUAUGCCUGCAAUUUAUUAAAGUCUGGUUAUAUUCGGCAUACAGUCAACAAACUUACCUUUUCUGAGCAGUGCUAUUACGUCUUUGGAGACUAUUAUGGUGGUCCACCUGUGUACCCAGAUUUAAGUGCUAUGAGCUUAGAAGAUGUUGAUUCUGUGUCGGAGGCUGACCGCGACACUUUAGCACCACUGCCUCCUCCAGCAUGGAAUAAUCAGUAUCCCUACUCUUCUGCGUCGUUCCUGCCACACAACUUAGCCUACAUCCCUCCUCAUGCAUACACCUCUGCUGACUCCAAUAGCUAUGUCGGAAGCUUUGUAGAUGGUGCCACGCCACUGCCAGCUCCACCAUCAGUAACCGGAGGCGGUGGGAAUGGGAGCGCUGGGAGUGUGCAUAGUACUUCAGUCACCACAAAAGACUGUACUUGUUUAAUCACGACGUACAAUCAGUUACGCAAACUGUGGGAGAACAAGGAAAAGCAAAAUGAGCUGUCAAAGAUGGCCUCUCAGCACAACAGUGGUGCCCCCUAUUUGCCAUCAGGGGAACUCCCUCACCUGCAUGCCAGCAUGCGUGGUUCCAACUGUAGUUUAGGUUGGUUUACACUAGCUGCUUCCCACUUUUAUUUAACAUACCCCAUGUGCAACCUUUCCAAAACAAAUUUUUCUCAGCAUAAUGUCCAUUCCUUUGCAGUAGUUUCUAGUAUUCAUGGAAGGGUUGAUCCUGUAAACCUUGCUUUAAGCUGUUAUCCCUUCAUUUUGCUUGUUGGUUGGGUCUGCAUCACUUUAAAACAAGUAGAUAUCUGUGCCUUUCUGCCUCCCUCUUCUUUUCUUGAAGAGAGUAAAAAAAUUCACAAAGAUAGGAUCCAUACAUAAAAUACAUAUAGCAGAUUCACUCAUCUUUUUUUAAAAAAAGUAGAUUGUAGUCAUAAAAAAUUUUGGACAUUUAUUAUAAUGGUCUUUUUGGUUUGUUUGUUUGUUUGUUUUUAAAGCAAAGGUAUUAUUCACAAAUUCUUAAUUGCAUUUUUUGUUUACAUUUUAACAACAUAAUCAUUAACUAGAAUUGAAAAAAAGUUAUGCAUAAUUAAAUAAAAUGUAAUUAGUUUUUGUUUUUUUGUGUGUUUCUUUUUGUUAUAAUGGUAGAUUUUCUUAGCAGAAACUUAAUGUUCACAUAUUUUAUUGUCUAGAUAACUAGACCAUCUUGCUGCCUCAUUUUUCUUGACCACUUGAUCUCAGUAAUGAUCCACCAUGAUCACCAUUAUCAACAAUAGUACCUUUUUGAGGACAUUUUUUCACUUGCUUUAUGAUUGCUCACAUGGAUUUGAAUCAUUGCUAAUUUUACAGUUUAAAGAAAAGUUUUAGUGAUUUUGAAUAUACAUAUCUACAUAUAAACACAAUAACAGUCAUAAGACAUUUUUAAUAUCACCAUAUUUUGAACAUUGUGUAAGUAAAAUGAAGGGAAAAAUUCAUUUAAAACAAAAGAAUCAAAGUUAGUUUAUUUUUAAAUUAAUCAAUCGGGGUUGUGAUUAAAAAAUGCUUCCCCAUCCUACAGUUAAAUCUUUACCAUUUGGUCUUGUAUGCUGGCCUGCAUGUGUGUUGUGUUGAGGUGGCUGAAAUUAACCCAUCAGUUACUCAAUUUACUGCUAAUGAUGAUACAUUUUGCAAACUCUAACUUCAGAUUCUGUUGUUGCUGCUCAUCAACCAUGCCUACUGUGACAGUAACGUUUAUAUGUUGCAGUAGUAAAACAAUAGAAACAUUUUUAAGUGACUGAGACCAGACCUGCUGUGUUUUGAACUAAUGCAUUUGUCUCUUGCAGCAUUUAAUUCUCCAGUGUGCUCUGGCAUCUUGACUUGUCCCUUUAUACCUUGCUGUCCAGCACUUUGGCAAUCACCCGCUAUUUUCUUUUGCUGCUUAUUGAGUGCAUGAGCAUGUAAAAAUCUUAUUUUGCUGAAUUAUAUUGGAAAAACAAAGGCUAAGUUAAUACAUUUUCUUUUCUUCUCAGAAGCCAGCUUGUUCCUAUUUGCUAGUGAGGUUUUUUCCUGAAAACAAAGCAACAAACCAUUUAUAAUAAAUAUGCUUUUCAGUAACUAAAAAAAAAGAAGAAAUAAUAAGGAUGUUUUUCCCAGCAUAAUGGACAUAAUCCAUCAGGUAUAUUCCUGGAAACUUGGUUUCCUUCUGCCUGAGAUGUGAUGAGUUAUAAAUGAAAUCUUUCAUAGCUUUUCAAACUGAAAAGAAACCCUGACCCUCAGGAUAAGAGUUCCAUUUAUUAUUGCAGUUAUAAAGUCUAUGGCGUUUAUAUUAUGCAGAAGUGAGUGCAGCUCAUUUGUUGGAAGGGGGAAAUGGUUUACUCAAGAUUCUCUUUUUGUUUUCUUUUCGCUUCAAAAAGCCUUGCCUUUUCUAAGUGACAAUUGUUUAUUGCCAUAUUCUUCCUGAUCAACACAAAAGAUUUAAAAAUGAUUAUUCUUAAAGCAGCUGCAUAGUCAGCAAACUGUUCUGUUACUGUAGCCCAGCAGUUCUCAACCUUUUACUUGUGACGCCCCUCUGACGAACAAAAGUACGUCCGCACCCCCCCCUCCCUCUUAGCCAGUAAUGUAAGCUAAUUUCAGUAAUACUGGUAUAAGAAACUUUUAAAAAAUGACCAUCUUCGCGCCCCCUUGUAAGCACGUCGCGCCCCUCUGGGGGGGUCGCGCCCCACCGUUUGAGAACCGUGGCUGUAGCCUGUGGUGGGCAUUACUUUGUUCAAUCCCAGCUUGUUUUAUCCCUUGUAGGUUUGGAUUGGAGAGUCAGCAUAAACUGAUUUUCAUACUAGCCAGAACAACUGUCUGUUGAUGAAAGAUAUUAGCUAAACUAACUGCAGUGAUAUUAUGAAUAAAGGUAAUUUCUUUCUAAAGAAAGUUAAAAGUGAUUGGAAGCAUGGAUCUAAAAUCUGACCUUGGUAUCAGAUUUGCUGGGAAGUCAUCAGUUGUGUAUACAAAUGUAUCUGGAUUGUAAGGCUUUUGUAAGAUUCUUGUCUGCUCAUUCAAGAACAAAAUGUUAAUGUACAGUGAAGGGUAUUUGAACAUUGGAAGUAAUAUUAAUCAGUCCAUCUCCAAAAUGUAAAAUGCUAGUUGCAAAUUUUUUAUUUAAUCUUCCUUAUUCCAGCAUACAGAAAAAUUAUGAUUUGUGCAUGCAUAUCGAAAGCACAAAUCUAAUUUAUUGUUAACAAUUUGUUUUUAAAGAUUUUAAUAGUGAAGAACUGUCAGAAAAAUCCUUCUCAGGUAGUACCUUUGCCUGAGCACAAUGUAAACAACACAAGGAGUUUGGAGAGAGAUAAAGAAGGCAAAGAUUGUCCUUGGUGUAUCUGUUGAUCUGGAAGAACAUGGCAAGGCUUUUGCAGAAUAGUAUGAGCUUUUGUGGAUGACUGUGAGAUGACUUGGGAUUUUUUGCCAGUACACAAUGCAUGCCUCUGCGUUCCUCUGCCAACCAAGUGGCCUUCACGUUGGGCCACUGAGCGGCUUCUGUCUAAAACCCUCUGCUAUGAUCACCCUGAGCCCAACAACAACAGCAGAAAGGCCUCCGUGCAGGUUAAAGCCUCGCAGGUGGCAGUGGCGUCUGCUUCCUCUGUCACUUCUAAGUUGGUGCCAGGAAGCAGCCAUUCAGGGAGCAGCAAGAAAGAAGGAAAAGAGAAAGGAGAACGCAAAUCUGUUUCCCCAAUGGGAAGUGGCAGUGACUCAGAUGCAGC